GCCUGGAUAGCUCAGUUGGUUAGAACAUGGUCUGAUAACACCAAGGUUGCAGGUUUGAUUCCUGUAUGGCUCAGCUGCA